GGCAAACUGAAAAUGUUAAAAAUUCCUAAUUUCUCACUUUUAUUCAGGUAAGUCUUCUAUAACUUCAAUUGGGAAGUGUUGUUUUAAACAAAACUACUCAUAUUUCAUGUGAACUGCUGUAAGAUAUACCUAUCAUGUGCUGUUAGCUGAGCCAGUUCCAAAAGUGUAACAGACUUCUAGGUUAAAAUCUCUGUGUCACGGUUUUGUAAUUUUGCUAUUGGUAUUCCACAUCAUAACAUCAUAGACAAAAGAGAAGAAGAACUACGUAUCCCAGAGGACCUCGUGGUCAGAGAAGGAAGAUACAUCAUGGAAGAUACGUCAUCUGGUUGCACAUGGUCUCUCACUUUCGCUUGCUGCUAGGGAGAGGAGUGGGUGUGCUUUCCAAGCCGUGUGCCUUCAUCAGGAGGAGCAGUGGCCAGGAAGAUGAGAUGCUAAGAUUUUCUGAUUUGUGAAAUGAAAUCAGAUGAUGUAUGGAAUCAAAAGGAAAAUUUGUACCAGUACUUGAAGAUGAAAAAUGGCUCACAGAUUUAGCAUUUUUGGAUAACUCUCUGAAGAACAACAACCUGAAGAGAUGAAACCAACUGUUGACUGCUGAAACAUUCCUUAGGACUAGCAGCCAAUGAACUUGAAAAAAUAGAGAAACAAAAUGGCUUAACACCUUAAUGUCAAGAGAGACUUCUAAUGAUGGAAAUGUUCUAGGCUGGAUCACUAAGAUAAGUAUUAAUAACAAUCUCCUGUUAUUUUUGUCUUCUAUACGUAGCGCAGAAGAAUAAGUGACUCCUUCCAGUCCUGUGGGUAUUGUUAAUGACAAGCUGCUUGGCUUUGUUUUUCUACCUUUCCUUAUUUAUUUCACUUACUAUCAUAUCUAGGCAGUUUCAGAGAGUUUUAUCAUUUCUUGUCAAAUCUAUCUUGAUCACUUAUCAUUCAAAUGGAUGUUUAAUAUCAAGCUUCAAUGCUCACAGACCUUUUCAGGACUCAGAAGCAGGUAUUUUACAUCCUGAAUAUAUAGUUAUAUGUAAAACGCUCUGAGUUAACUGUCUCGUGGCCUUUAUAUUCUCUUGAAUCAUCUUCUGAUUUCUAUUGACAAAAUGAAAAUACUUAGUUAAGGUUGUAGGCAAAAAAAUAAGUGCAGAAGGUAUAUAGUGUAUGCAAUACAUAGCCAUUACACUGAGUCCUAAAUAAGCCUAGAGGAAGACUGAACAGUAGUGCUGCAAGGAGUCAACAAUCUCAUUUAUCUUUGUGAGCUCCCAACUCCCACAUAGUCAGUACCAGGCACUUGAGUAAACAAUGCAAACAAACUCACUGAAUAAAGAUGGGAAAACUGAAAACCUGCACUAAUUCCUAAAAAGUAAAUACUUCAUACCCUGUCACAGAAGGGUUAUGAAAAAAUAGUAUGGAGAAGAAGAAAUGGUUUAAAAAGCCUAAAAAGCAGAAAUUGAGCCAUUCUUAUUAUAUGCACAGUCUAUUCUGAGCAAAACAUUUUUGUCAGAUCACAGUGCUGUAUCUUUUUUUUAUGUGCAGUUUGGAAAAACAGAGCAGUCUCUGCUUCACUAUGCUGAUUGUUUUGUCUCAUGCACGACCAUGUCUCUAAAUUUGCCACCCACAGCCCUGACAGCCUCUCUACCCUCCAUCACCCUCAUUUAAAAAAAUAAAAUCUCUGUUAGAUUACAUCUCUAGGGCAGGCACAAAAGCAACUGUGUAGAGAUCCCUGAUUUGAUCUAUAGAAGCUAUCUUGUACACUAGUGGGAUUCUAGUCUUGAGAGCAGAACACAAAUUCAUGUACCCUGCAGCUUGGCUUGGUUUUGCAGCCUAUGCAGCACUUUGUGCUGCCACAGCCAAAUUGGUACUGAUACUUUAAGUAAGUGUCGCAAUAUAUCUAAGUCAGUUUUAUGCUAACUGCAGUCACUGCUACAACCUCAGCAUUGGUGCUCCCUCCUUUACAGCCUGCGUAUUCAGCCACCACUCCAUAUAUUUGUUCUUCUGCUAGGCUAUUUGCUCUUCUUUCACAUACAAAAUAAAUUGUAUAUAUUCUUUUAUAUUCACAAGUAAUUUUUUACUUUCUGGCUUCCCUAUUUCUGUAUCAUCUCAUAUGUGUUACAGAACAUUGCUGGCUAGCCCCAUAUUGCUGUAAAGGCAUAGAGAGUCUCUAUUUCCAUUAUCACAUUUAAAUACUUCAGAAGAAACCAUGCAUUAUGUAUUCUGAAUACUUACUAAAACAUCUUGAUCCUUAAAAAGAGUUUGGUGUCUUUCACUAUCUUUUUCCCUACUUUACACUGGGGCCGAUAACUUUUGGAAUUACAUGAAACCUAGAGAACUGGGAAAAUGAGCCGGAGAGAAAAAUGUAUUUAAUUUUCAGAUAACAAAGCAGUCAGGAAAAGGACUGAAUAAGUCAAGAUAGUAGAAGCAUGGAAAGGUUGCCUUGCCCUCUCUAAACGCUUGGAGAAAUUGUUUCAUAAAGAAAUGGAAGAAAAAAUACAUUUUGUUAUGUUUAUUGUAUUUCUGUGCAGAGGAAGGGGUGAAACUGCAAAGAAAGGAGGCAGCAUCAUUCAUCGCAAGUAUUUAGUAACUGUUGUAGUAGGUGUCUUGCGGGGCUACGGGAUGUACGGGACAGGCCUCUCCCUAAGCAUAGAGAGACAGUGUUAUCGUGCUGACCUUGAUGCAGAGAAAACAGGAGAAGAAGAAGGAUGAGAAAAGAAUGUGGAAACGGCCAAAUAAGGCACAAUGUUAUCUGGUGUGAACCAAUCAGAGUGGGACAUGACAGCACGGUUUUGUAGGUAAAAUGUAUAUAAGCUGUGUUUAGUAGUGAAUAAACGCCAUUUUGCUGCUCAUCAUAUUGGUGUGUGUCUGCAGUCAUUUGGCCCUGAUCAGGCUAUUGAUCAGUGCGUGCAGAGGCCUAACACAGGUGGCUAACAUCGUUGUUGCAGAAAGCAACAAGUAACAUAGAAGCUAUAAUUUCAUAUGUAA
rnacentral:lncRNA from 1 species